rnacentral:rRNA from 1 species
GGAAUAUUGGACAAUGGGCGAAAGCCUGAUCCAGCCAUGCCGCGUGUGUGAAGAAGGCCCUCGGGUUGUAAAGCACUUUCAGCGAGGAAGAACGCCUAGUGGUUAAUACCCAUUAGGAAAGACAUCACUCGCAGAAGAAGCACCGGCUAACUCCGUGCCAGCAGCCGCGGUAAUACGGAGGGUGCAAGCGUUAAUCGGAAUUACUGGGCGUAAAGCGCGCGUAGGUGGCUUGAUAAGCCGGUUGUGAAAGCCCCGGGCUCAACCUGGGAACGGCAUCCGGAACUGUCAAGCUAGAGUGCAGGAGAGGAAGGUAGAAUUCCCGGUGUAGCGGUGAAAUGCGUAGAGAUCGGGAGGAAUACCAGUGGCGAAGGCGGCCUUCUGGACUGACACUGACACUGAGGUGCGAAAGCGUGGGUAGCAAACAGGAUUAGAAACCCGGGUAGUCC